UACGUAGGGGGCAAGCGUUGUCCGGAUUUAUUGGGCGUAAAGAGCGUGUAGGCGGCUAGGUAGGUCCGUUGUGAAAACUCGAGGCUCAACCUCGAGACGCCGGUGGAAACCAUCUAGCUAGAGUCCGGAAGAGGAGAGUGGAAUUCCUGGUGUAGCGGUGAAAUGCGCAGAUAUCAGGAAGAACACCCGUGGCGAAGGCGGCUCUCUGGGACGUAACUGACGCUGAGGAGCGAAAGCGUGGGGAGCGAACAGG
rnacentral:rRNA from 1 species